rnacentral:rRNA from 1 species
UUUUUCUCGAAUCAAUUGUUCAUUUCUCGACCUCAGAUCAGCCGAGGCUACCCGGUAAAUUUAUGCAUAUCACUAAGCGGAGGAAAAGAAACUAACAAGGAUUCCCCUAGUAACGGCGAGCGAACGGGGAAUAGCCCAGCACCGGGCCCUGCGAUGUUCAAGCGCUAGGGAAUGUGGUGUUUGGGAGGGAUCCUUCUCGCGGCUUUCGGCUAACGUUCCAAGUCCGCUUGAACGCGGCCAUCGCCCACAGAGGGUGACAGGCCCGUCUGAACGUUCCGAGUCACGGGUUGGUCCCUCCUUGGAGUCGGGUUGCUUGAGAGUGCAGCCCUAAGAGGGUGGUAAACUCCAUCUAAGGCUAAAUACGACCACGAGACCGAUAGCGAACAAGUACCGUGAGGGAAAGUUGAAAAGAACUUUGAAGAGAGAGUUCAAGAGUACGUGAAACCGUUCAGAGGUAAAACGGGCGGAACCUCGAUGCCGAAUGGGGGACUCAGUUCGGGCCCCUGGAACCUGCCUCGGUGCGAGAUGCCAAACAGCACUUCCGCAUCGGGAUUGAUUUUAGUCCCCGAGCGCACUUCCCCUAGUAGGACGUCGCGACCGGUUGAGAAGCAGUCUAAGGGGUCUCACGGAGAAGGUGGCGGGACGUCGGGCCUCGCGCUCGGCGGUUCUUUGCUCGCGUUAUAGCUCCGAUGGCUUUCUGACCUGCAUCUCGACCGUCACCAGGACGGUGCCUGCGUCAAACGAACUCACGUUCGCUUACGCUCUACCGGACGGGUUAGCCAAGGUUCGGCGUUUUCUGUCAUCGUCGUCCAAGGACGGCCUGGCGAACGUUGGCCUGUUGGGUCUGCCCAUAGUUCUCCGGAAUUUUAAGCAAAGGCAUCCGCGACGAAUCGAACAGCGUUCCUCCCGACCCGUCUUGAAACACGGACCAAGGAGUCUAACAUGUACGCGAGUCAUUGGGCGAACUAAACCCAAAGGCGCAAUGAAAGUGAAGGUUCCCUUCGGAACUCUAGGGAGGAUCCGAUUCAGGACGGACAUGGGGGUCAAACUCCUUGUCCGCCCCGGCGCACUCCCGGGGCGUCCCGACCGCUAUUUGCCGGUGGGGCGCACCUAGAGCGUACACGUUGGGACCCGAAAGAUGGUGAACUAUGCCUGGCCAGGACGAAGCCAGAGGAAACUCUGGUGGAGGUUCCCGUAGCGAUUCUGAAAUCGUGCAAAUCGAUCGUGUUUAGGUUGGCCGCGGAGCUGGGUAUAGGUUUCUCCUAAGGCGAAAGACUAAUCGAACCAUCUUCAGUAGCUGGUUCCCUCCGAAGUUUCCCUCAGGAUAGCUGGUGCUCGGAGAGUUGGACGACUUUAUCAGUCUCAUCCGGUAAAGCGAAUGAUUAGAGGCCUUGGGGCCGAAAUGACCUCAACCUAUUCUCAAACUUUAAAUGGGUGAGAAGUCGGGCUUGCUUGACACAACCCUCACGGGUUUGAAGCUUGACACAGGAUGUAAGAGCACCCAGUGGGCCACUUUUGGUAAGCAGAACUGGCGCUGUGGGAUGAACCAAACGCCGGGUUACGGCGCCCGAUACGACGCUCAUUAGACCCCAUGAAAGGUGUUGGUUGCUUUAGACAGCAGGACGGUGGCCAUGGAAGUCGGAAUCCGCUAAGGAGUGUGUACUAACUCACCUGCCGAAGCAACUAGCCCUGAAAAUGGAUGGCGCUCAAGCGUCGAGCCUAUACCCGGCCGCCGGGGCAGAGCAGGCCUUCCGAGGUUUCCAAGGAACGAGAGCCCACAGGCCCCGGCGAGUAGGAGGGUCGCGACGGUGUGCACAGAAAGGGUCUGGGCGUGAGCCUGCCUGGAGCCGCCGUCGGUGCAGAUCUUGGUAGUAGUAGCAAAUACUCAAGUGAGAUCCUUGAGGGCUGAUUGUGGAGAAGGGUUCCAUGUAAACAGCCUUUGAACAUGGUUCAGUCGAUCCUAAGCCUUAGAGAAAUCCGUUCCCAACUUCGCGGCCAACCUAAACACAACCUAACCCGACACGUCAAAGUGUUCGGUGAUAUUGAAAUAAAAAGUUGCCGCGGGAACAGGCGAAAGGGAAUCCGGUACUUAUUCCGGAACCUGGUCACGGACAGUCGGGGGAGACCUACUCUCACCCACACGCUGCAAAGCAAACAAACUCGGAGACGUCGAUCGGAACCCCGGGAAGAGUUUUCUUUUCUGUAUAAGGGACCUUAGACCCUGGAAUCGGCUCGUACGGAGAGAGGGUUUGGGUCCCGAAGAGCGCCGCGGUUCUUGCGGCGUCCGGAUGGUUUCGCUCGAUCCUUGAAAAUCCGAGGGAGGGCUCACCACUUUCGUGCCAGCUCGUACCCAUAUCCGCAGCAGGUCUCCAAGGUGAACAGCCUCUAGUCGAUAGAAUAAUGUAGGUAAGGGAAGUCGGCAAAUUAGAUCCGUAACUUCGGGACAAGGAUUGGCUCUGAGGGUUGGGCCGGUCGGGCUUGGUCGGGAAACGGGUAGCGGCUCCGUACCGGGACUGAGCUAGGCUUCUGGCCUAGCUCGGACUAGCGUCGGGGUCCAUCCGUGAAACGGCUUAGCUAGACGACUCUUCAUAACGGUGCGGUUCGGGUGGAUUGCGCUGGCCCGGUGGGUUUCGGCUCGCUUGGUCCGCGUGUCCUGCUCGGAUCGUUUGCCGGUGGGAGUUGUUUCGGCCGGCAGCUAGCAAUCAGCUCAGAACUGGCACGGACCAGGGGAAUCCGACUGUCUAAUUAAAACAAAGCAUCGCGAUGGCCGUAGCCGGUGUUGACGCGAUGUGAUUUCUGCCCAGUGCUCUGAAUGUCAAAGUGAAGAAAUUCAACCAAGCUCGGGUAAACGGCGGGAGUAACUAUGACUCUCUUAAGGUAGCCAAAUGCCUCGUCAUCUAAUUAGAUGACGUGCAUGAAUGGAUUAACGAGAUUCCCACUAGUCCCUAUCUACUAUCUAGCGAAACCACAGCCAAGGGAACGGGCUUGGACCGAAACAAC